rnacentral:rRNA from 1 species
UGUAAGUAUAAGCGAUUGUACUGUGAGACUGCGAACGGCUCAUUAUAUCAGUAAUAAUUUCUUCGGUAGUUUCUUUUAUAUGGAUACCUGCAGGGAUUCUGGAAAUAAUACAUGCUGUAAGAGCCCUGUAUGGGGCUGCACUUAUUAGAUUGAAGCCGAUUUUAUUGGUGAAUCAUGAUAAUUGAGCAGAUUGACUUUUUU